AUUGAACGCUGGCGGCGUGCUUAACACAUGCAAGUCGAGCGGUAACAGGUGUAGCAAUACAUGCUGGCGAGCGGCGAACGGGUGAGUAAUGCUUCGGAAUCUUCCUAGUAGUGGGGAAUAACCUGGGGAAACUCAGGCUAAUACCGCAUACGACCUACGGGUGAAAGCAGGGGAUCGCAAGACCUUGCGCUAUUAGAUGAGCCGAAGUCGGAUUAGCUAGUUGGUGAGGUAAAGGCUCACCAAGGCGACGAUCCGUAGCUGGUCUGAGAGGACGACCAGCCACACUGGGACUGAGACACGGCCCAGACUCCUACGGGAGGCAGCAGUGGGGAAUAUUGGGACAAUGGGGGCAACCCUGAUCCAGCGACGCCGCGUGUGUGAAGAAGGCCUGCGGGUUGUAAAGCACUUUUAGUGGGGAUGAAAAGCCAAGGGCUAAUACCCUUUGGUCUUGACCUAACCCAAAGAAAAAGCACCGGCUAACUCUGUGCCAGCAGCCGCGGUAAU
rnacentral:rRNA from 1 species